CAGAGGAUAUUUUAUUUUAAAAUAUUAGUUUUGGGGAUUAAUGAAAUGGUUUAUACCUUUCCUCUGA
rnacentral:tRNA from 1 species